rnacentral:rRNA from 1 species
UCAGAAUCAACGCUGGCGGCGUGCCUAACACAUGCAAGUCGCACGAGAAAGCGGACUUCGGUCUGUAAGUACAGUGGCGCACGGGUGAGUAACACGUGAAUAAUCUACCUUCGAGUGGGGAAUAACUGGGAGAAAUCUCAGCUAAUACCGCAUAACACCUACGGGUCAAAGCAGCAAUGCGCUUGAAGAGGAGUUCGCGGCAGAUUAGUUAGUUGGCGGGGUAAUGGCCCACCAAGACGAUGAUCUGUAUCCGGCCUGAGAGGGCGCACGGACACACUGGAACUGAAACACGGUCCAGACUCCUACGGGAGGCAGCAGUGGGGAAUUUUGCGCAAUGGGGGAAACCCUGACGCAGCAACGCCGCGUGGAGGAUGAAAUCCCUUGGGAUGUAAACUCCUUUCGAUCGGGACGAUUAUGACGGUACCGAUAGAAGAAGCCCCGGCUAACUUCGUGCCAGCAGCCGCGGUAAUACGAGGGGGGCAAGCGUUGUUCGGAAUUAUUGGGCGUAAAGGGCGCGUAGGCGGUUUGACAAGUCUGAUGUGAAAUCUAUGGGCUCAACCCAUAGCCUGCAUUAGAAACUGUCGGGCUUGAGUAUGGGAGAGGUGAGUGGAA